CCCCGUACGAUCACCGAAGUUAAGCAACCUUGAGUCUGGUCACUAUCUAGAUGGGUAACCGCUUGGGAAUACCAGGUGCUGCAAG